rnacentral:ncRNA from 1 species
GUAGUCUGCCAUACGCAGGAAGACCCGCUGAACUGAAGCAUCUCAUUAAGCGGAGGAAAAGAAACUAACUAGGAUUCCCUUAGUAAAGGCGAUCGAAAAGGGAACAGCCCAACGUCUUAAUCCCGCAAGGGAAAUGUAGUCGGUUCACCUAUUGCACUGGUCUAAGUCAGAUGGAAUGCUGCGCGAUUCAGAGUAAAAGCCUCGUAUGACCAACCGCAAGCUUACGAUGGACCGGGGAGAGUCGGAUACUUUGAGAGUAGUGUCUUAAGGGGGUGGUAUGUCCCAUCCAAGGCUAAAUAACGUGAGGAGACCGAUAGAUUACAAGUAGUGUGAACGAAAGAUGAAAAGAACUCUAAAACAGAGGGUGAAAAGUUCCUGAACUUGCUUAGGGUUAAGGCUAUUUAUAGUACCCGUCUUGAAACACGGAUUAGGGAGUUUAUCUGUAGUGCGAGUCUUUGCACGUUAACUGUAAAGGCGUAGAGAAAGCAACUGGCGUUUGCAUGGCUACUGAGCAUUACUGAUAGGACCCGAAAGGUGGUGAACUUUGCCUGCACAGGUUGAAGUCAGGGGAAACUCUGAUGGAGGACCGUACGGGUUAUUGAUGUGCAAAUCAUUUUUCUGAUGUAGGUAAAGGUGCGAAAGACUCAUCGAACCACCUAAUAGCUGGUUUCCUCCGAAGUUUCCCUCAGGAUAGCUGUAAUGCAUUUAGUUAAGGGGAGUAGAGAUAUGGGUAGAGGUGCAGGGAGCCUUCGGGUUCUCAACUUAUUUCCAAACUUCGAACCUCCUUGU